CCCACUUGUACCUACAAAACAAUUGUAUUUCAUGUAUAGACAACCUCAGGUCAUUAAAGAAACUGGAAAAACUGUAUCUGGGAGGCAAUUACAUUGCUGUCAUAGAAGGUUUAGAAGGAUUAGGAGAACUAAGAGAGCUUCAUGUUGAGAAUCAGAGGCUUCCCCUUGGGGAAAAGCUUCUGUUUGAUCCAAGAACUCUUCAUUCUCUGGCAAAAUCCCUCUCUAUAUUGAAUAUCAGCAAUAAUAAUAUUGAUGACAUUAGAGACUUAGAAAUACUGGAGAAUCUUAAUCAGCUCAUAGCCAUUGACAACCAACUUCUGCAUGUGAAGGUAGUGUAAAGAGAAAUUAAUUUUUAAGAUAUUUACAUGAAAUUAUGAUUGAAAAAUGUUUUGUAAUAGCUAUAAAAUAAAUAUAUCACAUUAAAAACUA
rnacentral:sRNA from 1 species